rnacentral:lncRNA from 10 species
GCAAUUUCUCUUUUUUAUUCCUCCAAAAUCUGCCUAUAAAUUUAUCAUGUCAUUACCUAAUAUGUUAAUUAAGUUACUUGGUAUAAUUAAGUUACUUGUAAACAGUUUGAUCCUCCUGGGACUUGCUUUUCAGCUUUCUUAUGUGGUAUCAAAGCAGCAUUUAGUUUAGGGCUAAUUUUAUCUCAUUAUUGAGGCAAAAUCCUUCUAAAUACUUUACUAAUGCCCAAGAAUUAUGAGAUUUUUCCAUUCUGGCUUGUGGGGACAAGAGCUAUCCCUGACCUGGUGUGAUCUUUGGGAUUGUUCCCUCUAAUCUUUCUCAGUAGUUGUUUUCCUGCUUUGGGUAGCUUCCUCACAUGGAUGUGCUGGUUGAAACUCACCUGAGACUCCUUUAGAACCCUCUUCAGGCCUCCAGGUAUCUCACUGUCUGGGUUUCGCUGCUCCAGUACUUUGUCCUGAAACUCUAGCCUCUGUCCCCUCCCUAGAUGCUCAAACCUGCAUCCUCAACUCAGAGAGAGAGCCAGGGUGCACUUGGGGUCCUUCUCCCUGCUCUGUGCUCUGGAAACUUUCCAGGUAGUAAGUUGAGGUAAUCACAGGGCUCACUUCAUUUGUUUCCCAUCUGAUAGAGAUCACUGUCCUUCCUUGCUUGAUGUCUGAUGUCUUGAAAACCUUUGCUUCAUAUAUUUUGUCUGGUUUUUAAGUUAUUCCAGGAAAGAGGGUAAAUCUGGUUCAUGUUACACUUUCCAUAUUGGCUAGAAGUAGAUAUCUCCCAGAUAGAUAUUUAAAGGCCAACAUUUAUUGAGAACUAUGUUCCAGACAUGGUGCAAGGUACAAUACAAUAUCUUAGUUAAUCCUCUAAAACCAAACAGAGAAACCAAAAAUUGAAGAGCAAAUAACAAAAAAUAGAGCUAAGAAAAGGUACUAUUACAAUUCCCAUCUUAUAAAUGAGAAAAUCAGGAUAUAGAGAGAUUAAGUAGUUUCUUCAAGGUCUAAUGAGGCUAAUAUAUGGUGGAAUUGGGAUUUGCUUCCAGGUGCGUUUGCUGCCAAAGGCAUGUUCUUAACCAGCAUAUUCCCACACCUGCUACAUCUAUCUCUUGCUGCUUAAAGGAAACUGGGAACAAUGAUUUGCUUUGUUUUAUGCCCAGUAUUGUAGAGUUUACCCUCUGCAAAAAAUUCAUUCUUAACUCUUCAUCUUCCCUCCAAGGAGUGCCAGAUGGUGAGCUCUACAGGCUUCACGAUAUUAGCGACUGAUUUCAGAUUUUCCUUUCUUACAGAAUAUCAGUUUAUUUGGGAUCCUGCCUUUUUUCUUUUCUUUUCUUUUCUUUUUUUGAGAUGGAUUCUCACUCUGUCACCCAGGCUGGAGGGCAGUGGAGCCAUUUCGGCUCACUGCAACCUCCGCACCCCUCCUCCUGCCUCACCCCCGCACCGGGUUCAAGCAAUUCUCAUGUCUCAGCCACCCUAGUAGCUGGGCUUAUAGGUGCCUUCCACCAUGCGUGGCUAAUUGUUUUUCAUUUUUAGUAGAGACAGAAUUUUGCCAUGUUGGCCAGGCUGGUUUUCAGCUCCUAACCUCAAGUGAUCCACCUGCCUCAGCCUCCCAAAGUGCUGGGAUUACAGGUGCGAGCCCGGCCAAGAUCCUGACUUUUUACUGCUGCAUACAAUUAGGCAAAUUUAGGUUAAGCGUUUAUAAAAUUAUAAAUUUGCAUCAGAAAUAUACUAACUUUGGUCAAAUGAUUACAACUUCUUCGAAAUAAGGAGAGAAAAACAUAAACAAUAGCUGUCUUUGAGAGCUAUGUGAGGAUGUCCCUAAAGUUUGAAUGGAAGGAAAAAUGAAGCCCAAAUUUUAAGUUGGCUUGCAACUUUUAUGUAAGAACUGGCAUGAAGGUUUCUCUAUUGAGAGAUCUACUGAUGAAGGUGUUUACAGUGGUUCCAAGAAUCUUCAUUAAAAUCCACAGAAUGAAAAGACACUCAUGCAACAAUUGGAAAGACACUCAAGCCAACAAAACUGAAACAAAAAUAGACACAAGCAUAUUACGUAUCUCUUGAGGGGAAUAUUAACACAUAAUUUGGCGGGGGUAGGGGUGAUUCCUGGGCAACUUUGAGUGUGUUAUAAUUCUGAAGUUCCCAACAAAUGAAACGAAUAAGAUUUUGGCUGUGUUCUAUCAGUGGUGGAGACUCAUGAGCUUUAAUCUAGUACUUAUAAAUAAAUCUUAAACUCUCAGUAUUAGGAUUUCAACUUGUUUCCCAGUAUCCUUUUUCUCUUUUUCAUACUGAAUUCUAAUCAUACAAUUAAAACCUGUUUAUUGUUCAAAAGUGGGAAACAUUAAUAAGUAGAAAGAAAAACAUAAUCUACAAUUUUACUACUAAUUAAUAAGCACAAUGGACAUGUAAGUGACUAUCUUGAUGGUCUUUGCCUUCCCUCUGGAUAAAAUAAAAGUAUGUGUCUUUGUGUGUAUAUGAUGUGGGGGGGUGUGUGUAAUUUAUAAUUCUAGAAUAGUUUAUAAUGCCAUGAGGCUGAGAUCUCUAAAGUAUUUGAGAUCAUGGCACAAGGUGGGGAAAGGCUUAAUACCUUAGUUGAAAUCUGGGUUGCAGGCGUCCCUGCCAAAGCAUGAUACGCUCUUAUAAACUGGCUUUUCUUCUCUAUCUAAAUCUCCCGAAAUUUUGACAUUUGAGACAUCCCCAGAGAUGAGAUGCCUGGACCUGUGAUUGGAGAGAGUGAUCCUUUGCAUGACAGUCCCAAUGGUGACUCAGGCUUCAGGCCUAGGCUGGAAACAAUAACAUUUCCCAGACCCACAGCUGUGCAGGUUACAAUCCCUAGAGGCUUCUGGCCAUGGUGAUUAUAGAGAACAGUUCACUCUCGAUGAAUCACGUGAGUACUAGAAAGGCUAGAUUUUUCAUUUAUUGAGAAUAGUCUUUUAAAGGAGCCUAGCUAGAGGCAGUUAGCAGAAGAGAAGGGUUUACAUUACAUAGUUUAAUGCCAUUCAGCUAAUUCACAGACCAUUGAAGUGUUUUCUGUUUUUGUUUUUUUUGCAUGUGGUAUAUACUUAGCUGCAUGCUAAGAGAAAUCAACUCUGAUUGAUUUAAGCAAAAUAGAACAUUGUCAAAAGGCAAUUCUGGCAAGGUGAAAGAAUGAAGCUUAGAAAGUAGGUAGCAGUGAUACUAGGCAGGUAGAGAAUGUUAGCAAAACCAUGCCCCAGAAAUGAUAUGCUGAGAACCCAGCUGUUUGUCGUGUCUCUGCAUCAAAGGCCAAGCCUCCCUCCCCAACAAUUACAGGGUCUGUGGCAAGAGCACAAUGGAGGCACAAUAUCAUGUGUUUAAAUAUUUAAAAGUUACAAAUAAAUUGUACAUCAGAUGAACAAUCUGUUAAAUCAAAUGUCAUAUCCUCUUUGCUGAAUAUACUUUCAUAAUAAGCUGAAAGAUCAAGUUCAAACAGAGAAUUUUUGACUCCUUAGUGAAUACUAAGGAUAAAUCCAGCCCCUUGCCCUGCUCCCUAGCCCCGAGCACAUCCUCUUUCUUGCUACUUCAACUUGAAUGUAGAAGCAUCAUCUACAUCUCCUGCAGAGGUCACCUCUUGACCUCCCUUUGGGUCUAGAGGUGUGAAUGGUCUGCUCCCAGGGGGAUAAACACAGGGAAGAAGAUUACAUAGGUCCUGGAAGUGAUCCCAAGGCUCAUCUGCGCAGGGAAUUCACAGUACUUGGUUACCAAAAGUGUAGUCAAGAAGUGGUCAUGAAGUUCAGGCUCUGAGUAGGCACGUCCUGUUGGACUUGUAGACUCCUGGCUCCAUGGGGAGGAACUCAGGCAGGAGGGCCAGGCAGGCCUCCCUAAUUUGGGGUCUCUCUCUUGCCUGAAUCUAAGGACAGUGCUGCCAAUGCCAGAUCUGCUGGUGCUGCUCUGUGAACUGGAUAUGGCUGCCCAUCAACCACAGCAUGACUUUUCCCCUGAGCCCGCUCCAGCAACCCAGCUGGAGUGUGUUAAUGGCUGAGCCAAGACUUUGCACCCAGCUUUAGCCCACAGUGGGUAAGAUGGAGGUGGAGAGCUGUGGAAAACAGAAUAUGGUCAAAAAAUGGCAAAUGCCUACUAUCCCCAGACUGAAGGCACCACUUCUAUUUUGUUUUUUAUUUUUUUAAUGACACAUUCCAAAUCUGAGAAUAAAUGAAGCAGUUCUAAACAAGUUCUACUCCCAAGCUGUUAGCCCAGAAUCUGCACAAUUGUUUGAGAAAAAAAUAUAAAUGGGAUCAUUUUUGUUCAAAGUGGUCAAAAAAGAAAGGAAGCAUGGAAUUAUCAAUUAUCUUCUACUGGAAGCAAAUGAAGAAGUUUGUUGUUCCUAUUCAUUUUAUUUCUGUCUUUAGGCCUGGGCCAUCUUCUCACAGGCUAGGAGGAGUGAGAUUUUUCUACAUCUUAGCCAUAAGUCAGUGUGGUAGACAUUUGCUGCUUUUGCCCAUCCAACAUCUGUCUCUUCUUUCUCUGCUCUUCUGUUCUUCUGGAAACAGCUUUCAGUUUUUUUGAGUGUGGUUGACCAACUCCCGAUCUAGAAGUAGGCGUUCGACCCAUUAGUCUCUCCCAUUCAGAAGAUCAUACACUUAUGAUCACAGUAAUUGGUUCAUGGAUGUUUGAAUACUUUCAAGAGCAUAAGGCAUUCCUAACCUGUAAAUAUUUAAGGUGGAGAUAUUUAAGAAAGAGGAAUUUUUGGAUGGAGGCCAGGAGAGGUAAGUAAUUAGAAGCUCUUUCUUAGAUCCCAGGACUUGCCUGGGCCGACCCCCUCAGCCUUAACAUUAAGCCAGAGCCAAGUGCCCUAAUUCUUCCUGCUGAUGGCAAGAAUGUUGUUACUUCUGUGUGCUUGGUUCUUUUUGGAUGGAGUUCUCAGAUAAAGGACACUACCCAGUUGCCUGCUUUUCUAGGUCCUUUUUUCUCCAGUGAAAGAGACUUCUUUGUGGACAGUGUAACUCUGGGAUGCAACACACUUGAGUUUGAAUCCUAGUUCUAUUACUUCGCUGCAUGCCUCAAUUUCUUCGUCUGUAAAAGCGGAUGAUCUUCAACCUGGGAAGGAAAAUGAAGUCCUAGGUGUUGAGGAGGGUUUUUGAUGCUCCUGGGAAUUUUGUCUUGCAACAAAAAAUGGGCUUGGAGUAGAUUAAAUGUGAAAUAAGACUGUAAAGCAACUGAUCUGCUCCCACCAACCACACAAGGAAGUCUGCCUCUUUGUUUUCUAGUUGCACCUUCUACAUGUUUAGCAGAGUUCAUUGUGCAUGGCAUGUGCUCAGAAAAUAGUUAUUAAUUGAUUUAUUUUUGUUGUUUGAUUCAAUUUAAUUCAUUGCGAUGUUUGAUUUGAUUCAAUUCACACAACAAAUACAAGUUAUUAUACCUGGUGCUGUGAGGCAUAUGUGUGAUGAGACAUCACUGCCCUGUAGAAUGUACUAGAACGACUGAGAUAAUCCUGAAUGAACAAAGGCAGCACUGCUAGCCACAUCUUCUUAUUGGGGAAAAUGGAUCUGCUUAUGUCUGCAGCUUUCUUUUAAUGGAAGUUUGUAAUCCUUGCUGUUUUUCCUCUGGCCAGCACCCAGGUUGCUACUGAAACUUCCCCACUGAGGGUUUUCCUUUGACUUGUGAGUGAGCAACACUCUUAGUUUGACCCAAUUUAUCUCCCAGCUAGGACCUGCCUGGGGUUUAUGCUCCCCUCUCUUCCUGCACCUUUUCUACUGGAGUCUCAGGCUGCUCUCCUGUGUCCUGGGGUCCCCACCCCUGCCCUCCUGGCAGGGAGUGAGGCUGCAAAGGGACACUACGCCAAUUUACAUGGACUAGACUGUGUGUGGCUCUCACUCUUGGGGAGACCCUUCUGUGAAUUUUUCUUUUUCUUUGCCUUGGCUGAGGUUUGGAGAGGUAGAGCAGUGGCAGGGGGUAGAAAGGCAAUGAGGCCCUUAGGUUACUUCUUCUAGGCCUGGUGGGGUUGACUGCAGACCAGAAGAUCUGGCCCCUCUCCUGGAUUCUGGGCCCAAGUCAAGGCCAAAGUCAAUUCAGCAGCUGCCUUGGCAUCAAUAGAAGUUUUCAUGGCAGUGCUGGAGACUUCAAGGGCAUUAGCUAUCUAUUUCUUUUGGAAUCAUCAAAAGAAAAGAAAACUCUUCCUUGCUGUUAGACACUGCCAAACUCAAUUAUCCUUAGUAAGGGAGAAAGAAGGGACACUCAUUUGUGCUUUGAGAGAACUUAUGACAAAGGGAUGAGCAAACACAUUAUACUCUGGAUCUAAACAGCAACCAACACAUUCAUUUCUUUAAGUACCAUCCUGCAUCUAGUAUUAUGAUGAAAUAUAAAUUCAAGAUCCAUCCACACCAGGGACUUGCUGUUCAUUGAGCAUGUAUCAAUGAACGUUUAUUCAGAAUGAGCUACACAAAAUGCUCUGUUCUGAGCGUUUAGUUGAUGGAAAGGUCUCUUGGGAAUUGACUAAGGUUAUUUAAGUUCUUCUGUUCUAGCACCUCUGGGGCACCAGCAGAAUCACCAGCAGACUCUCCUGUGGGGUGCUGCCCCAGUGGUGCUCAGUGACUGGUCUGGGUGGUUCCAGCCUUUGCCUCAGGCUCCCUUCUGGCAUCCCUUCUUUGAGUACUGAUGAUUAGUUUACAGCGCGUGUUUCAACUUUUCGGUGGCAUCGAGCACAGAGAGCCCAGCACAGGUCUCUGCACAAGGGUUCUGACUUGCUGUGGAAAUUGGACAGAUGUGGCUCUCCUUAGCACUCCCCUUCCCUGGGCCACAUUCACCUCUUGCACUAAAUUCUAUGCUGAUCACUGGUCUUGGUGAGUUGAGUAUUGGACAAAAAAGUUUUAACCUAGUGAGCUCAAAGAGUACCGUCUUUUGCUCCUUCUUUCACUGCUUAUGCCAUUUUCAUCCACCUCCCAUUCUAUCGAUCUGUUAUUUUUUUCUGGAGUGGGUAUGAGUAUAAUUGUAUAAUUGAUGAUUGUAGCUAUUUAAUAUGGUUUAAUAUAGAGAAGUCCGAUCAUGUGAUAGAAUUUGUUAGUAGUCUUUCAAAAUCCAUGCUCACCUUCUUUUCUUUUUUUUUUUUUUUGAGAUGGAGUCUCCCUCUGUCACCAGGCUGGAGUGCAGUGCAAUCUUCGUCUCCUGGGUUCAAGUGACUCUCCUGCCUCGGCCUCCCUAGUAGCAGGGACUACAGGCACAUGCCACCACACCCAGCUAAUUUUUGUAUUUUUAGUGGAGAUGGGGCUUCACCAUGUUGGCCAGGCUGGUCUCGAACUCCUGACCUCAAUUGAUCCGCCCAUCUCUGCCUCCCAAAGUGCUGAGAUUAUAGGUGUAGGCCACCGUGCCUGGACACCUUUUUUUUAUACUAAUAGAACCCUCAAUUUUUAGGUGGGCAUCUGAAUGCCAACAACAAAAACUGCUUUUCCCAACCUCUCUUGAAGUUAAGUGUGGCCAUAUGAUCAUGACUUCCCCAGUGGACCGUAAGUGGAAGUGGUGUGCUCAAUUUUUGGGAAAAGCUGUUUAUGGAAAGGAGUGUACCCUGUUUCCCACCUCUUCCCUUUUCCUCCUGUAAACAUAUUUGGAGCUUAGCAGCUAUUUUGUCCUCAAGGUGGACAGAGGAACAAGAUGAAGGAGAUGGGUUUUCUGGUACCAUGAGGGCCUUCUAGGGCCGUACCCCUGACCUCUGGGCCAUGCUUACUCAAGAGAGAAACAGUCUUUGAUUUUACUUUUGCCACUGUUAUUUUGACUGUUCUAUUACUCUGAACUCAACUUAAUCCUGACUGAUAUAAACUUUAUAAUUGUUUUUGACAAAAGCAAAUCCUAUUGUGGUUCCUAUGGGACUUAUAUUACAUUUAUGUGUUAAUUUAGGGAGAAUUGACUUCCUAAUAAUUCUUUCUAUCCAAGAACCUGUUCUGUGCUUUCAUUUACUCAUGUCUUUUAAAAUAAUAUUAUAAGCAUUAAAAAAACAAAACAUAAAACUUUGUUGUUUUCUUUGUUUUCCAUAUUGUGCAUAUCAAGCAUAUACUACUCUAUAAAAUUCUAAAAUUAAUAUAAAACCAAAUAAAGCACUACAGGGCAAUGCAUAAAUGUAAGCCCAAGGUGAGCCUAAAUAAAGGAAAAUAAUCCUUCUCUAAGUUGAACUUUUUUGUCUAUUUGAAAAUUUUAUGACAUUUCUCCUUCCAUAUUUGAUUUACAGAAAGCAAGUUGACUGUUGAACACUCCAAUGUUCAUUAAAGCAGCCUUUUGAAGCAUAAUUGCUUACCAGAAAUACUUAGAAAAUCAUUUGUACUUCAUGUUUCUAUUUGGGUGCUUUAUUUCUUAAUAGAAUCUCAUCCUUGUUAUCUAAGAGUGGUGUAUAAAUUGGGGGAGCAUAUAGGCAGUAGAUGAAAUGCAAAAGCUUUCAUGAAAUAUCAGGCUUCACAGCUGAGAACACAGCUUGGUAUUUGUAACCAGAGGAGCUAGAUUUGACACUGGGAGUAAGUUGUAGAAAGGAGUAGAUGUAAGACCGUGUACAGGUCACUUACCAUCUUACCAUCUUGAAACUCCAGUUUCCCCAUGUAUAACUUGGGAAUGAUAAAAAUACUUGCUCAAAUUUUUCUUUACAAUGUUGUAAAGGUUGUUAAAGAUGAUGGGUGCAAAAAUGCUUUAUACAUUUUAAAAUCUGUUUAAGAAUGAGUGAUAUGGGUUGGCUAUUUGUUACCUCCAAAUCUUAUGUUGAAAUGUGAUUCCCAAUGUUGGAGGUGGGGACUAGUGGGAGGUGUUUGGGUCGUGGUGGCAGAUCCCUAAUGAAUGGCUUGGUGGCCUCACUUUGAUAAUGAGCCCAUACAAGACCUGGUUUUUUGAAGGAGCGUGGUGCCUCCCCCUCUCUCUUGCCCCCUCUCUCAUCAUGUGACAUGCCUGCUUCUGCUUUGCCUUCCGCUAUGAGUAAAAGCUCCCUGAGGCCUCACUAGAAGCCAAGCAGAUACUGGCACCAAGCUUCCUGUUCAGCCUGCAGAACUAUAAGCCAAUUAAACCUCUUUUCUUUAUAAAUUGCCCAGCCUCAGGUGUUUCUUCACAGCAAUGCAAGAAUGGACUAACACAGAAAACUGGUACUGAGGAGUGAGGUGUGAGAUGUUGCUAUAAAGAUACUUGAAGAUGUGGAAGUGACUGUAGAACUGAGUAAUGGGCAGAGGUUAGAAGACUUUGGAGGGCUCAGAAGAAGACAGGAAGAUAAGGAAAGUUUGGAACUUCUUAAGAGACUGGUUAAAUGAUUUUGACCAAAAUGCUAAUAGAAAUAUGGAUAGUGAAUACCAGGCUGACAAAGUCUCAGAUGGAAAUGAGGAGCUUCUUGUGAACUGGAGUAAAAGUCACCCAUGUUAUGCCCUAGCAAAGAAGGAUCGCUUUUUUGUUGCAAGUAACAGAAACCUCAAAAGAUGUUGGCAUAAACAUGAGGGAAUAAAUUAGGUCAUAAACAGUGUGUACAGAGGUUAGACAGGAUUCAGGCUUGGUUGAUUCAGGAUCCAGGUUCUUUGCACCUCCCUUCAAUGCUGGUUUCUUUCUCAGGUAGGUAGCAAGAUGGCUGCAGCAGAUCCAGCACUCACCUCCAGACAGGGCAAUGUUCAGGAGAAAGAGAAAAUGCGUUGUUAACACUCUGCUUUAGGAACAAGACACUUUGCCCAAAACCCCUCAUCUGUCCUGAAGAACUCUAACCACACCUUACUGGGCAGACCUAAAUUGCAUAUGCAUUCCCGAAAUCACUGUGAAUGUCGAUGAGAUAUGUCAACCUGGCCCAUCUUCAGAACUGGAGAUGCCUCAUUCCCCCAAGGCAAUGGUGGUUUUUGAGAGAAGUGGAUACCUGGACAAACCCGGAGUUUGUUGAGUGUAUCAGAGGCGAUUAGUGACCUGCCCUUAUUGUCUUGUUGUGCACUGUUUCUGGUGCACACUGGUAACUUCCUACUGCAAGUAUCUGUGACUCUCUUUCUGAGGAAUUUCUCUGGCUAUGGGAGCUUGCAUGGUCUGCUUGGAGUAGGCUGAAAAGUGCUGAGGAAUUAAUGUUCCUGGAAGGAGCCCUCAGUUGGUGAUAGAUGAGAACUGAAGGACAGUACCGCAGCUUCCUUGUCCCUUGGUGGAAAAACUCUAAGUUAUGUUCUACUCCAUUUCACACAGGUUCCCAGUGGUAUGGAGUUCCAGUUGCCCACAGAGAUGAUUUGCUCAUUAAUAUAGUCUGUGUUGGCUUCUUUUCUUUCCUGGAUCACUUCCUCACACGCUUACCAGUAUUUCCUGGUAUCACCUCUCAACCAAACAACUUGUACCCAAGUCCUUGCUGGAGGGUCUGCUACUGAGGGAGCUCAACCAAAGUUGGUAGGAGGAAGAAGGGGGAAAGAGUUCUGUGUAGGAAAUGAACAGUGUCCUCUACUGGCACAUGUCCUCUACUGGCACAUUCAGGAGCCACUUGUAAAACUUCCCAGGGUUUGUAUUUAUCGGUCUGCCAACUACAGCCUCCCAAAAUGAAUCCAAAACUAAGAUUGAGCCUCAACAUUCCCAAACAUAUUUAUAAACCUGAAAACUUUCUGAUGAAAUGCAAAAUUGUAGGCUUUCUGCAAACUUGAUGCAUGUAAUUAGUAGACAUAAAGUCUUCUGAAUAAACUUAUGAGGCUUUAUUUAGCUAGAAUGUGUCAGAUUGAACAUUUUAAAAUACAUGUUUUCUUUCCAGUAUACCUGUCUUUCCCCGCAGAUGUUGAUUUCUUGAGGAUUUUGGUUAUUUGAAAUUUGGAUUGUUUUCCUAAAUCUGCUUUGUAGAGAUGUGGGAGAUUAUUUAGUGUGGAAUAAUAUAUUUUUUGAAAAUUUAUUUAUUCGCAUAAAGUCUUUAGCUCAUUAGUUUAUAAUAUUCUUGGAGUUAUUAUUUUAAAACUUGUGGUUCAAAGGGGAUAUAACAACUAGAUGGAUAGGAAAAAUUGAAAGCUUGAUUUUUCCUCAGCUAAAAUUGGAAACCAGAACUUUAUCACUCCUAUUUUUACAGAUGCCAUGUGGCGGGAACCUUGGCCAACUGGGAUGUGGGUGGCUGAGUCUUUCUUCAGCUUCUUACUGGAAACUGUGGCGUUUUCUUGACAGCAGUAAUAAAUCAGACAUCCACAGGAAGCAAAGAGAUCAUUGAAAUGAAACAUAAGCUGUAAAAUGUUCUGCCUCAUAUUAUGACAGCCCUUUCCUUGGUGGGCUCUCUCUUUGGACCCAUUAGAGAAACAGAUCUCCAAUUUACAGGAGGAUGCAUAAAUUGGAGAUGUAAAAAUUACUAGAUUUUAUGGAAAUAUUGAUUUGUUCACAGUGCACACAGGUCUAAGUUAACUUAAAGAGCACAUCCCAUAAACUCUAUUAAGCCUAACUUGUCUUAGGCUAUUACAAAUCUGUGUAUUGUUGGACUUUCUGAAUUUAUAUUUUUGACUUUCUUUAAUGUGAGCAUCCUUCAACAGGUAUCAUAAACAUUCAAAAGGGAUUUACUGUAGUCAUAGGAACAAAAUGACUAUUCUGAGAAUUUCAUUCUGGCAAACUGAAUGAUGUACUGCUAGUUAUAUAUGUCUAUUGAACCAUGACUCUUUCCAUAGGAAAACUCUGAGAUUACUAUCAUCAGAGUCACCAUAUCCAUAACCAACUGAAUGCUUCUGAUGUAUUUUAAUCUGGUUUUGUUGAUAGUGAUAAAACACUGGCUUGGCUCUAUUUGGACUGAGUAAUUUAAAAAUAUUUUACAUUGAUGAAAUCAUAUUUUAAUAAUAAAGUUAAUUAAAUAUAUUGACUUUUUCCCAAGUUUAGAGGCAGCAACUAUUUCACAAAGAGGAAAAAAUGUUGUCAAUACUUACAUAAGAUUAUUUAAUUUCAGUUGAUUCUUGUACGAAGAACUAUAGAAAUAGUUGAUCUUUCUUCUUUUUUCGAAUUAAAAUGAGCAGCCUCUGAUUUUCCCUCCAUUCCUCUCAGGGCCAUCUCAACCAGCUUGUUGAAACCAGAAUGCAAUUUCAGAAGGCUUAUUUCCUCAAUAAAAAAGUUUUCUCC